UACGGGGGGGGCAAGCGUUGUUCGGAAUUACUGGGCGUAAAGAGCGUGUAGGCGGCUUUACAGGUCCGUUGUGAAAACUCGAGGCUCAACCUCGAGACGCCGGUGGAAACCGUAAGGCUAGAGUCCGGAAGAGGAGAGUGGAAUUCCUGGUGUAGCGGUGAAAUGCGCAGAUAUCAGGAAGAACACCCGUGGCGAAGGCGGCUCUCUGGGACGGUACUGACGCUGAGACGCGAAAGCGUGGGGAGCGAACAGG
rnacentral:rRNA from 1 species